CACACACACACACACGUGGGACAACAGGCUAGCUUUGUGUUUGUUUAUACCAGCUACUGGGGUACUGUUCAGGCAGAAUUCCAAGUUAAAUGGCUCAAGAGUCUAACCUGAUAUAGCAGACAGACAGGUCACUGUGCCGCUUAAGAUAUCGGUCUGUUCUGAUAGAGAGACCUAGAUAUUGUUGUAUUUGUUUCUUAUUUUGUGAGGCUCCUACCAGUGCAUUGUACAGGCACCUAACUUGGGGCUGAGAAUUCCACUGAGCUCCAGGGAUCUAACUCAAAUAUCAUUUUUCAGAGUAGAAUAAAUUGCACUUUGGGGAGGAAUAAUCAGCCAGUGUGUCCCCACAAUGCAAAAUGUUCAGGUUAACAAACUGGAUGUAAUUUAUUCCAAGUUCGGGAUUCAGAUAAUAUGAGAGAGAGAGAGAGAGAGAGAGAGAAUUACAUUAUACGACAACCAAAGAGGCAUUCAAAGUGCAGGGCAAUGCGGGGAUAAUGUGGCAAUGGACUGGCACUAUGCGCUGAGCUGCAAGGCACUGACACAGACAGGACUCAGACCCUGCUCUGAGCUCUCAGCCUGAAAACAAAUUUCCUGUACACAGGUCAAGAGUUUUUCCAUAUAUUAUAUUAUAUAUAAAAAUAUAUAUAUAAAUUUAAAAAAGCCAACUUAAAGCUGUAGUUCCCAUUGAUCACCAAAUACUGCACACUUUGGGUAGAUUGAGACAAAAAAAUCUGAUAAGCAUUUACACUUCACAGGGUAAAACAAAUUCAGUCAGUCAUUCUCAGCAGCGCGCUUCCAGACUGCAGACCACAAGUGAGACAAGAUUUCAAUCACCCUUAUCAGCCAGCCAGAGCUCUGCCAUUCCCCAUGACCCUGUAUUAACAUUUCACCUCACCAAAGUGUCACCACGUCCCCAUCCUGCCUGGGGAAAAAAAAAAUCUGUAUUGUGAAAAAAGUGGAAAAAAAAAAAAUCAGUCUCAGUCUAUCAUGGGGACUGCAGUAGAACUGGAUUCCAGGGGAACAUCACUGCUCUCCUCCCAGUCCCUUUAGGACCAUAGAUGCCACUUCUCAGGCAUGGACCUUACUGCUUCAUUCAAAUUUUAGUCACUUAUUUUCUUCUUGUUUCAUAUUGCAGCUGAAUUUCUCACAUCCUGGGUUUUGAAGCUGCAGGAACUGGUCCCAGCCAUCUCUCUCCUAUAACUUUCCCCAGAA